AAAGGAGUUACGUACGAAUGUCAUACAAGCUGUACAAAAAGAGGACAAUGUUUUCACUGUGGAAAUUACCAAGGAUACCACUAAGUUAGAUAAUUUUCCCUUCAAUCCUGAUGCAGUGUUAGAGCGUC